rnacentral:rRNA from 1 species
AAGGCUUCGGCCGGACAGGGAUGGGCAUGCGGCGCAUUAGGCAGUAGGCGGGGUAACGGCCCACCUAGCCGACGAUGCGUAGGGGUUCUGAGAGGAAGGUCCCCCACACUGGUACUGAGACACGGACCAGACUCCUACGGGAGGCAGCAGUGAGGAAUAUUGGUCAAUGGUCGGGAGACUGAACCAGCCAAGCCGCGUGAGGGAUGAAGGUACAGAGUAUCGUAAACCUCUUUUGUCAGGGAACAAAGGCGGGGACGUGUCCCCGGAUGAGUGUACCUGAAGAAAAAGCAUCGGCUAACUCCGUGCCAGCAGCCGCGGUAAUACGGAGGAUGCGAGCGUUAUCCGGAUUUAUUGGGUUUAAAGGGUGCGCAGGCGGUCUGUUAAGUCAGCGGUCAAAGCCCGGGGCUCAACCCCGGCCCGCCGUUGAAACUGGCAGUCUCGAGUUGGAGAGAAGUAUGCGGAAUGCGCGGUGUAGCGGUGAAAUGCAUAGAUAUCGCGCAGAACUCCGAUUGCGAAGGCAGCAUGCCGGCUCCACACUGACGCUGAGGCACGAAAGCGUGGGUAUUGAACAGGAUUAGAUACCCUGGUAGUCCACGCAGUAAACGAUGAAUGCUGCCUGUCCGGGGGGGAUUGACCCCUGG